rnacentral:rRNA from 1 species
GAUGAACGCUAGCGGCAGGCUUAACACAUGCAAGUCGAGGGGCAGCAUAAUGGUAGUAAUACUAUUGAUGGCGACCGGCGGACGGGUGCGUAACGCGUAUGCAACCUACCCUUUACAGGGGGAUAACACUGAGAAAUCGGUACUAAUACCCCAUAAUAUUCUGGGAGGCAUCUUUCGGAGUUGAAAGCUUUGGUGGUAAAGGAUGGGCAUGCGUUGUAUUAGCUAGUUGAUAAGGUAACGGCUUACCAAGGCGACGAUACAUAGGGGGACUGAGAGGUUAACCCCCCACAUUGGUACUGAGACACGGACCAAACUCCUACGGGAGGCAGCAGUGAGGAAUAUUGGUCAAUGGACGGAAGUCUGAACCAGCCAUGCCGCGUGCAGGAAGACGGCUCUAUGAGUUGUAAACUGCUUUUGUACGAGGGUAAACGCAGAUACGUGUAUCUGCCUGAAAGUAUCGUACGAAUAAGGAUCGGCUAACUCCGUGCCAGCAGCCGCGGUAAUACGGAGGAUCCAAGCGUUAUCCGGAUUUAUUGGGUUUAAAGGGUGCGUAGGCGGUUUAGUAAGUCAGCGGUGAAAUUUUGGUGCUUAACACCAAACGUGCCGUUGAUACUGCUGGGCUAGAGAGUAGUUGCGGUAGGCGGAAUGUAUGGUGUAGCGGUGAAAUGCUUAGAGAUCAUACAGAACACCGAUUGCGAAGGCAGCUUACCAAACUAUAUCUGACGUUGAGGCACGAAAGCGUGGGGAGCAAACAGGAUUAGAUACCCUGGUAGUCCACGCAGUAAACGAUGAUAGCUCGUUGUCGGCGAUACACAGUCGGUGACUAAGAGAAAUCGAUAAGCUAUCCACCUGGGGAGUACGUUCGCAAGAAUGAAACUCAAAGGAAUUGACGGGGGCCCGCACAAGCGGAGGAACAUGUGGUUUAAUUCGAUGAUACGCGAGGAACCUUACCCGGGCUUGAAAGUUACUGACGAUUCUGGAAACAGGAUUUCCCUUCGGGGCAGGAAACUAGGUGCUGCAUGGUUGUCGUCAGCUCGUGCCGUGAGGUGUCGGGUUAAGUCCCAUAACGAGCGCAACCCCUACUGAUAGUUGCCAUCAGA